AUUGAACGCUGGCGGCAGGCCUAACACAUGCAAGUCGAACGGUAACAGGAAGAAGCUUGCUUCUUUGCUGACGAGUGGCGGACGGGUGAGUAAUGUCUGUGAAACUGCCUGAUGGAGGGGGAUAACUACUGGAAACGGUAGCUAAUACCGCAUAACGUCGCAAGACCAAAGAGGGGGACCUUCGGGCCUCUUGCCAUCGGAUGUGCCCAGAUGGGAUUAGCUAGUAGGUGGGGUAACGGCUCACCUAGGCGACGAUCCCUAGCUGGUCUGAGAGGGUGACCAGACACACUGGAACUGAGACACGGUCCAGACUCCUACGGGAGGCAGCAGUGGGGAAUAUUGCACAAUGGGCGCAAGCCUGAUGCAGCCAUGCCGCGUGUAUGAAGAAGGCCUUCGGGUUGUAAAGUACUUUCAGCGGGGAGGAAGGGAGUAAAGUUAAUACCUUUACUCAUUGACGUUACCCGCAGAAGAAGCACCGGCUAACUCCGUG
rnacentral:rRNA from 1 species